UAGGGAAUCUUCGGCAAUGGACGAAAGUCUGACCGAGCAACGCCGCGUGAGUGAAGAAGGUUUUCGGAUCGUAAAACUCUGUUGUUAGAGAAGAACGUUGCAUAGAGUGGAAAAUUAUGCAAGUGACGGUAUCUAACCAGAAAGGGACGGCUAACUACGUGCCAGCAGCCGCGGUAAUACGUAGGUCCCGAGCGUUGUCCGGAUUUAUUGGGCGUAAAGCGAGCGCAGGUGGUUUAAUAAGUCUGAUGUAAAAAGGCAGUGGCUCAACCAUUGUGUGCAUUGGAAACUGUUAGACUUGAGUGCAGUAGAGGAGAGUGGAAUUCCAUGUGUAGCGGUGAAAUGCGUAGAUAUAUGGAGGAACACCGGUGGCGAAAAGCGGCUCUCUGGACUGUCACUGACACUGAGGCUCGAAAGCGUGGGUAGCAAACAGGAUUAGAUACCCUGGUAGUCCACGCCGUAAACGAUGAGUGCUAGUUGUUUGGGGCUAUC
rnacentral:rRNA from 1 species